rnacentral:rRNA from 1 species
UACAGAGGUCUCAAGCGUUGUUCGGAUUCAUUGGGCGUAAAGGGUGCGUAGGCGGCGCGGUAAGUCGGGUGUGAAAUCUCGGAGCUUAACUCCGAAACUGCAUUCGAUACUGCCGUACUUGAGGACUGGAGAGGAGACUGGAAUUUACGGUGUAGCGGUGAAAUGCGUAGAUAUCGUAAGGAAGACCAGUGGCGAAGGCGGGGUCUCUGGACAGUUCCUGACGCUGGAGGCACGAAGGUCAGGGGGAGCAAACGGG